UUUGGGUUGUAAGCCCUGUGAAUGGGAAGAAACAUAUAUGGCUAAUAUCCAUAGUACUGCCGGUACCAUUAGAGGAAGCACCGGCUAACUACGUGCCAGCAGCCGCGGUAAUACGUAGGGUGCGAGCGUUGUUCGGAAUCAUUGGGCGUAAAAGCGUGAGUAGGUGGUUUUGCUAAGUCGGGUGUGAAAUCCCUGGGCUCAACCCAGGGAAGUGCAUUCGAAACUAGCUCACUUGAAGGUGGUAGAGGAAGGUGGAAUUCCAAGUGUAGAGGUGAAAUUCGUAGAUAUUUGGAGGAAUACCGGCGGCGAAGGCGGCCUUCUGGACCAUUCUUGACACUGAGACACGAAAGCGUGGGUAGCAAACAGGAUUAGAUACCCUGGUAGUCCACGCCGUAAACGAUGGGUACUAGGUGUUGCGGGAAUUGACCCCUGCAGUGCCGAAGCUAACGCAUUAAGUACCCCGCCUGGGAAGUACGGUCGCAAGAUUAAAACUCAAAGGAAUUGUCGGGGGCCCGCACAAGCGGUGGAGCAUGUGGUUUAAUUCGAUGCGACGCGAAGAACCUUACCUGGGUUAGACAAUAGAGGACCGCCGUAGAGAUACGGUUUUCCCUUCGGGGACCUCUAGUUUAGGUGCUGCAUGGCUGUCGUCAGCUCGUAUCGUGAGAUGUCGGGUUAAGUCCCUUAACGAGCGCAACCCCUAUCCCUAGUUGCCACCAUUAAGUUGGGCACUCUAUGGAGACCGCCGGUGUUAAACCGGAGGAAGGCGGGGAUGACGUCAAGUCCUCAUGGCCUUUAUGUCCAGGGCUACACACGUGCUACAAUGGCAGGUACAAAGGGUUGCCAACCCGCGAGGGGGAGCUAAUCUCAUAAAGCCUGUCUCAGUUCGGAUCGAAGUCUGCAAUUCGACUUCGUGAAGCUGGAAUCGCUAGUAAUCGCGGAUCAGAACGCCGCGGUGAAUACGUUCCCGGG
rnacentral:rRNA from 1 species